rnacentral:rRNA from 1 species
UACAUGUGGGGCAAGCGUUGUUCGGAAUUACUGGGCAUAAAGGGUGCGUAGGCGGCUUGUUAAGUCAGGGGUGAAAGUUUUCGGCCCAACCGGAAAAUUGCCUUUGAUACUGGCGAGCUGGAGUGCGUGAGGGGUGACCGGAACGAGUGGUGUAGCGGUGAAAUGCGUAGAUAUCGGGAGGAACACCUGUGGCGAAAGCGGCUCACUGGACCGCAACUGACGCUGAGGCGCGAAAGCUAGGGGAGCAAACAGG